CCUUGCUGAAAUUUAUAAUUGUACGGUAAUUAUAUUUGACCUAAAUAUAUUGACAAGAUUGCUCAGUAGCCUUAUUAAUGAUUCAUCACUUCUACAACUAUAUAAACAGUACAUUCAUUUCGAAACUGUGUAUUGUCAAAAACCAAAUUCUAUCUCAGACAGACUUCAUGUAUGUUCCUUCUCAGCGUACACUGCAAUUGUGUUUGAAUCAGUAAUAGUCAUUCAAUCGUUGUUCGUAUAAUGAUUGUGUUUCGCACACAUGGGUAUAAUCCAUACCCCACCACGAUUGAAAUGGACCCUUACAUGGGCUCCAUAUAUAGCAUUCCGGGUACAAUAAUCCACAGGACAUACAUCAGGCCAAUCACCAACUGCACCUUCAUACAGUUGCUUCCAUGAAUCGUAACCAAACGAUCUGCAACUAGUAGUGCCCCUGACGUUUUGCACUUCAGUGCCCGUCCGCAAUUUAACCAUGAUUGCCC